rnacentral:rRNA from 1 species
AUUGAACGCUGGCGGCAGGCCUAACACAUGCAAGUCGAGCGGAUGAAGGGAGCUUUCUCCUGGAUUCCGCGGCGGACGGGUGAGUAAUGCCUACGAAUCUGCCUGGUAGUGGGGGAUAACGUCCGUAAACGGGCGCUAAUACCGCAUACGUCCUGAUGGAGAACGUGGGGGAUCUUCGGACCUCGCGCUAUCAGCUGAGCCUAGGUCGGAUUAGCUAGUUGGUGGGGUAACGGCCUACCAAGGCGACGAUCCGUAACUGGUCUGAGAGGAUGAUCAGUCACACUGGAACUGAGACACGGUCCAGACUCCUACGGGAGGCAGCAGUGGGGAAUAUUGGACAAUGGGCGAAAGCCUGAUCCAGCAAUGCCGCGUGUGUGAAGAAGGUCUUCGGAUUGUAAAGCACUUUAAGUUGGGAGGAAGGGCAGUAAGUUAAUACCUGGCUGUUUUGACGUUACCAACAGAGUAAGCACCGGCUAACUUCGUG